rnacentral:tRNA from 1 species
CAGAAAGUAGUUUAAGUAAAAUAGUGGUUUUGGGUACCAUAGAAAAGGUGAGUCUUCUUUUUGA